UGUUGCAGGGGCCCCAGUACACUGCUCUGCCCAGGGGCCCAUAAUGCUGUUAAGACGGCCCUGCUGUGAUCAGUGGGCAGUGUUUCUGUC